CAUUAGAUGGCUGAAAGUAAGCAUUGGUCUCUUAAACCACUUUAAAAUAGUUUAACACCUAUUUCUAAUGA
rnacentral:tRNA from 1 species